rnacentral:lncRNA from 1 species
UUCGCCCUCAAAUACACACCAGAACAGACACUCUGGAUGUGAAGAGAAUGAAACACUGGAGUCUUUCAGAGCUUUCCUGAAGCAAAAUCUAUGUGAUGUGACAAGAUCACCAACAGACAGUGAAAACUGUAACCUGUGUGCCAUGAAUUGGCACUUGCACAAGGACACAUGCUACUGGAUUUCAACGUCAAUUCAGUCCUGGGAGGAAAGCAACCAAGACUGUUGGAAAAGAAAAGCUCAUCUACUAGUCAUUGAUGAUCUGGAAGAGAAGGUGACAAAAGAAUUCAUCCAGAACAAAAUAAAGACUAUGAAAGUAUGGAUCGGACUUGUCUAUUUAGCAGGGAAAGAUUGGAUCUGGGCAAACAGCAGUUCAUUUAAUAAGACAUUGUAAGUACUUUUUUNAAAAAAAUAUAUCCUACCCUUCACCCAAAGGUCCCAGGAUCGGUCACAACAAUACAAAAUAUAAAAUACACAGAAUAUUUCUAAAACAUAUUUAAAAUAUAACUUUCCCUACUUCCCUGGCAGGACAACACUCAGAAGAAGCUAAGCAUCAAAGGCCUGGGUGAAGUGGUGUGUUUUAACCAGAUGCCCAAAACCAUAUAAUGUAGAAGCCUGGUGAAUGUCCAGAAGGAGACUGUUCCAGAAUCUGGGGGUCACCACAGAAAAGGCCCUCUUGCAUGUCACUGUCCCUUGCCCCUCUGAAAG